UACGGGGGGGGUAAGCGUUGUUCGGAAUUACUGGGCGUAAAGGGCUCGUAGGCGGCCAACUAAGUCAUACGUGAAAUCCCUCAGCUUAACUGGGGAACUGCGUGUGAUACUGGAUGGCUUGGAUUUGGGAGAGGGAUGCGGAAUUCCAGGUGUAGCGGUGAAAUGCGUAGAUAUCUGGAGGAACACCGGUGGCGAAGGCGGGUCUCUGGGCCGAUACUGACGCUGAGGAGCGAAAGCGUGGGGAGCGAACAGG
rnacentral:rRNA from 1 species